rnacentral:rRNA from 1 species
GACGAACGCUGGCGGCGUGCUUAACACAUGCAAGUCGAACGGAAAGGCCCUGCUUUUGUGGGGUGCUCGAGUGGCGAACGGGUGAGUAACACGUGAGUAACCUGCCCUUGACUUUGGGAUAACUUCAGGAAACUGGGGCUAAUACCGGAUAGGAGCUCCUGCUGCAUGGUGGGGGUUGGAAAGUUUCGGCGGUUGGGGAUGGACUCGCGGCUUAUCAGCUUGUUGGUGGGGUAGUGGCUUACCAAGGCUUUGACGGGUAGCCGGCCUGAGAGGGUGACCGGCCACAUUGGGACUGAGAUACGGCCCAGACUCCUACGGGAGGCAGCAGUGGGGAAUAUUGCACAAUGGGCGGGAGCCUGAUACAGCAACGCCGCGUGCGGGAUGACGGCCUUCGGGUUGUAAACCGCUUUCGCCUGUGACGAAGCGUGAGUGACGGUAAUGGGUAAAGAAGCACCGGCUAACUACGUG